AACGGCGGCGGCCGCACUCCCAGCCCAGCGCCAACGAGUUCCCUGUGGACUCGGCCUGGGAACUUUGCUCUGGGCUUUCCGGGACUCUUCCACCGCGGGCGUGACCACAGCACUUUCACUUACAUUUCCUAAUCUGCGAAGUGAUUAUUUCCCAUCUUUAUGAGGCACAAAGGAAACUUGGGUCGAAGGCACUUUAUGGAUGACGCAAAAGAACUUGCGUGACUAAGUGUGUGCAAUGAGAAGUUGCGAGUUUUUCCUCUGAAAACAAACAUGGAACACUUAAUUCAUCAAACGUUCAUUUCUUAACAUCGUUUCUACUGGAGGAAUAAUCUGUGCCUUUUUUUUAAACCUCAAAAGUAUGGUUUUUAUGUGCUAGGUGGUCUUCUACAAGGGACUCGCACGCCAAACCAACCAGCAAAAGCAUAGUAUCAGGAGAAGAUGCUCAUCACAUGCCCUUUGGAUUUCUUCUUCUAUGGAGCCACCUAAGAAGUAGUGAAGUACUAAGAUGAGAUUCUGCCUCCCAGGAGAAAAUGGGCCUUCAUUAUCUGCUCUCUAGGGCUCUCCAUUAAACCACGUGCCCUUUCA